CCUACGGGUGGCAGCAGUGAGGAAUAUUGGUCAAUGGACGCAAGUCUGAACCAGCCAUGCCGCGUGAAGGAUGACUGCUCUAUGAGUUGUAAACUGCUUUUGUACGAGGGUAAACUCCGAUACGUGUGUCGUGUUGUAAGUAUCGUACGAAUAAGGAUCGGCUAACUCCGUGCCAGCAGCCGCGGUAAUACGGAGGAUCCGAGCGUUAUCCGGAUUUAUUGGGUUUAAAGGGUGCGUAGGUGGGUUGAUAAGUUAGAUGUGAAAUGUUGGGGCUCAACCCUGAAACUGCAUCUAAUACUGUUGGCCUAGAGAAUAGUUGAGGUAGGCGGAAUGUAUGGUGUAGCGGUGAAAUGCUUAGAGAUCAUACAGAACACCGAUUGCGAAGGCAGCUUACCAAACUAUAUCUGACGUUGAGGCACGAAAGCGUGGGUAGCAAACAGGAUUAGAUACCCCGGUAGUC
rnacentral:rRNA from 1 species